rnacentral:tRNA from 1 species
GUGGAGCAGUUGGUAGCUCGUCGGGCUCAUAACCCGAAGGUCAUAGGUUCAAGUCCUAUC